rnacentral:rRNA from 1 species
AGCAGCCGCGGUAAUUCCAGCUCCAAUAGCGUAUAUUAAAGUUGUUGCAGUUAAAAAGCUCGUAGUUGAAUUUCAGGCCUGGCUGGACGGUCCGCCCUUCGGGUGGGUACUGUCUGUGGUCGGGUCCUACCUUCUGGCGAAGCGUCAUGGCCUUAACCGGCCGUGGCGGGGAACCAGGACUUUUACUGUGAAAAAAGUUAGAGUGUUCAAAGCAGGCAAUCGCUUGGAUACAUUAGCAUGGAAUAAUGGAAUAGGACGAUGGUUCUAUUUGUUGGUUUCUAGGACCGUUGUAAUGAUUAAUAGGGAUAGUUGGGGGCAUUAGUAUUCAAUUGUCAGAGGUGAAAUUCUUGGAUUUAUUGAAGACUAACUACUGCGAAAGCAUUUGCCAAGGAUGUUUUCAUUAAUCAAGAACGAAAGUUAGGGGAUCGAAGACGAUCAGAUACCGUCGUAGUCUUAACCAUAAACUAUGCCGACUAGGAAUCGGGCGAUGUUGACAAAAUGACGCGCUCGGCACCUCAUG